CCUACGGGAGGCUGCAGUCGAGAAUCAUUCACAAUGGGGGAAACCCUGAUGGUGCGACGCCGCGUGGGGGAAUGAAGGUCUUCGGAUUGUAAACCCCUGUCAUGUGGGAGCAAAUUAAAAAGAUAGUACCACAAGAGGAAGAGACGGCUAACUCUGUGCCAGCAGCCGCGGUAAUACAGAGGUCUCAAGCGUUGUUCGGAAUCACUGGGCGUAAAGCGUGCGUAGGCUGUUUCGUAAGUCGUGUGUGAAAGGCGCGGGCUCAACCCGCGGACGGCACAUGAUACUGCGAGACUAGAGUAAGGGAGGGGGAACCGGAAGUCUCGGGGUAGCAGUGAAAUGCGUAGAUAUCGAGAGGAACACUCGUGGCGAAGGCGGGUGCCUGGACAUUAACUGACGCUGAGGCACGAAGGCCAGGGGAGCGAAAGGGAUUAGAUACCCGGGUAGUC
rnacentral:rRNA from 1 species